AGCCCGUGCAGACGUACUGGGUGGCUUUUAUGGGUCGGGCCUGGAGCUGGCUGCCAGAACUUGGGCUCAUGUUCCAUUGGUCAGAACAGGGUUUCUCACCCUCAGCACUGCUGACAUUUUGGGCUGGAGGGUUCUUUGUUGUGGGGCUGUCCUGAGCGGGUUGUUCCCUGGCCUCUGCCCACUAGUUUCUGACAGCCCUCUCUCCUCUCUUCCAAUUGUGACACCCAAAGACGUCUCCAGGCAUUGCUAGAUGUCGCCUGGGGGCAAAAUCGCCCUGGCUGAGAACCACUGGGCUGGAACCAGUGAGUUGGCCACACCUACCUGCAGGGAGUCUGGGAAAUCUAGUCUCGACCGUGACCAGGGAGAAAAUGAAACUGACUGAGAGCCUGCCGGCCAGUCUCUCACAGUGACCUUUCGCCUGCAAACUCCUCUCCUACCAUGGGGACACAAAAGCCUGUUGCAGAGCUGUUUCCUAUGGGUGAGGAGAGAGAGCAAGAGUUUGAGGGGUGGGAUGGUAGACUUGGGUAGGACAAAGAGAAUCCAGAAACCACCAUUGUGUUCAGCAGCACUGAGUAUUUAUAAAUAUACGAAUAGUUGUGAGAAGGAAGCAGCAAAGGAGGAAAUAACCAUUUUGGAAUACCCUUUACAUUUCACAAACACCUUCAAAGGUAUGAAUGAGUUCCCAGGCUGCCCUGAGGUGGGAAUGGAUAUGGUUGGGCGCCAUGUCGUGGGGAGGGGGCUUUGAUAUCUUUGUCUUACUUGAGGACCCUUGAAUUGUGCAGAAAGCAGAACGGAUUGGGAGUAGAGAGGGAAAUGUACAAAUCAGCUAUUUGAGUGUCUUCCGGGCGAGGAACUGUCGUUUAGAAGGCCAGUAAAGGAGAUCGCUCCGUCGGCAUAUAUGGCAUAUUGUGUGUUCAUGUAAUUAUACCCAAAUGAAAGCAAGAGGAAACGUGUAGGAAGCUGUUUCCAUAGUUCUUUCAUUAACGUUUACGUGAGUUAAUGAACACGCAAACAUCUGAUGAAAACAUGUCAGGAGUCAAACAACAAAGUGGGUUUUAAAGAAGGAAGUUACCAACUUGUGAGCAGUCAGCGCUUACCUCAGGCUGGGAAAGAACACAGGUUUUCCACGCUCAGAAAUUGCAGCCAGUAUGAACGGUAGCACAGACACAAUAGAGGUCAAAGGCAGGCGUCAGUCCAUCCGUCUGUCCGUCCGUCCAUCCAUCCAUUCCUCCAUCCGUCUGCCCAGUGAGCGUUUGCCGAACAUCCACUGUUCUGCCAGGGGCUCUUCUAGGAACUUCGGGAUCAUCAGUGAACAAAACUGACAAAAAUCCCCGACCACCAGGAUGUUACAUUCUAGCGAGAGACACAAAGAAACAAAAAUUGAGUCUUUGGUCCUGUUCAUUGCUCUGGCUCCACCUCAGCUCGUUCUCCUCUGGAGGCAAAGUUCCCGUAAAUACAGUAUUACCAUGACGUUGCUGUUUUGUAAGAGCUCGGUGCUUCAGCCGCUUGUGGAACCCUGGCCUGACUCUCCCAGCUCUGCUGGCGACUCCUCCGUCCCUCAGGAAGGCCGGCUAUGGCCCCGCGUCUGCCUGGCUGCUUUUGAUGCCCUCCCCCAGGACUCUCUGAGGCAGUGACUCAGCAUGACUCAGCAACCCAACUUUUUAGGGGAGCCGGGGUAUUUUGCCACACAACCGACAUAUGGGAAACAUGCACGCUGUUUAGCAAAAUCAUUGGAAAUGAAACACACCAGGAGGAAGAAAGGCCCAGAUUUCCUCACACCCAAAGUGCAGAGACCAGCUCAAGGAGGCGGAGGACAAGCAGAAAGAGCCGUUUUCUCCCUGGAACCAAAAAUGAAGAGCAGUUGCUCAGAGGGCGGCCUGGGAGGAUGAAGACGCCGUCACCUGGGGGGCUUCUGUGUCGGUGGGGCUGACGGAGAGUCUCCUUCUUGGGUGAGACAUGGAACAGCCAAGAGGAGCCCGCUCCAGGGUUUGAUGUAAUUGCCACCAUGGCUGUGUCAGCCUCAUUUGUUUCUCCGGGAAAGGUACAGGCUAUUCCAAAUUUUUAAAAGUUUAGUGAACCUUUAGCUUCUUUUUAAGUGGCAUGGAAGAAUGGCUGUUUAAAAAGGACAUCGCGGCCACUGACACUUGGCAGUCUCUACAAAUGGGAUUUGAAUGCUGCGAAUCCUGUGGUGAGGGCCAUUCUGGCGCUUCUCCUUGGAAAGCGGUUCGAGCUCCCUGGCUAUUUUCCCUGGGCCGCGUUUCUAGGGUCAUUGUGUUAAGCCUUCAGUUAAAGAACAGCCUCUUUGAAGCAGCUGGUUUGGACUGGCCUCCUCGGCCCGGGAUGGUUUCUCGGUAUUCGGUGUUCACGUGACAAAGAACAUACACUGGAUUCCUCGCCUUUUAGAGUUUGGUGUUUUCUUCAGCUGAAGUAGCUUGUUAUGCUUGAGAAAGAUUUUGCUUUUUAGGUCAUAAAGUGGAGCUUGAAGACUGGAAGAGGGUUUUUUUUGUUUUGUUUUAAUGUCUUGACUCUGCUGAACGUUUGAAGGGCCUGGGAGUAAGGACUGAGAAACAGAGAUUUGUAAGUGGGGAGGUUUUGAGGGGUGUCUCCCGGUCCUAAGGGAGCAGUAUGGAACAUUCUGAGGCGGAUGGGUCAGGGGACCUUCGAGCAGUCCUUCUGUCUCCCGCCAGCCUGUUCUGGUCUCUAUGCAGCACCUAAUACACUCGGAAUGUUCUCCUAUAAUAAUCUCCCGGAGCGCAGGGCCUUGUUCAUCCUUUGCACCCCUGUACCUCAGAACCUUCAGCAGUGCUUGGCACAGAGCACGUGAGGAAGGAAUGAAGAUGCACCCGAAAAGUCGGCUCUAAUGAAAAAUUCUCUCCAUCAAAGUCUAUUCACUGACUCUCAUUCUAAAAUAAGAGACGGUGCCUCCAGCACCCCCCAAAUCAGCGGGAAUGGGGCCAUGAGAAGGUUCGCGGGUGUGUUGUAAACGUUUGGCUGAGCAAGGAAUCUGAAGUAGAAGGAAAGGUUGAAUGUGGCGCUGACGUGGAAGGGCAAGACGUCCAAGCAGAGCACAGCCUGUGUCACCAUUUAUGAAUGGAUUGGAUCCUGUAGAGAUCACGAGCAAACCAGUGCUUGACUGCUUUCUUUCUUUUUUUUUUUUUUAAAGAUUUUAUUUUUUCCUUUUUCUUCCUAAAGCCCCCGGGUACAUAGUUGUAUAUUCUUCGUUGUGGGUCCUUCUAGUUGUGGCCUGUGGGACGCCGCCUCAGCGUGGUUUGAUGAGCAGUGCCAUGUCCGCGCCCAGGAUUCGAACCAAUGAAACACUGGGCCGCCUGCAGCAGAGCACGUGAACUUACCCACUCGGCCACGGGGCCAGCCCCUUGACUGCUUUCUUAAAUAGCGUGACCCUCACAUGGUCUGAGUUUUGUUUUGUUGCUUAAUUUUUAACUGACAGUACUCCUCUGCUGCAUACCAGAAACAGCAUCAUCACUGGAUAGAGGAAAGCCAGCGCAGGACUUCUCAAAGAUGUCGCGAUUUUUCUUAAGUAAUAGUGUUUUCUUUCCUCUGUGCAGCCCUUUGGAAACAGAAGUAAAUGCCAGCUCUGAUUUCUCUUCUGCCUUCCCUGCUGUGGACUGAAUGUUUGUGUCCCCAGAAAAUUCAUACGGGAAACCCUAACCCCAAAGUGAUGGUAUUUGGAGGUGGGGCCUUUGGGAGGUGAUUAGGUUAGAUGAGGUCAUGAGAGUGGGGUCCCCUUGUUGGGAUUAGUGUCCUUAUAAGAAGAGACCAGAGAGCCUUCCUCUCUGCCCCCUAUGUGAGGAAGUAGCCAGCUGGCUGCAAACCAGACAGAGCUUUCACUAGACACUGCUGGUGCCGUGAUCAUGGACUUCCAGCCCCCAGAACUGUGAGAAAUAAAUGUUUGUCAUCUAAGUCACCCAGUCUAUGGUAUGUCGUUAUAGCAGCCCAAACGAAGACCCCCCCACCCUCCCACCCCUGCCACAUACAGACUCCCCGCCUCAGUCCCAGAUCCCUGGUCCCUCUGGGAAGACACUGCAGCCCUGGCCCAGGACCAGAAGUUGGCCCUUCCCCUCUGAUGCCUCUUAGGUCCACCUGCCGACAGCGGGCAGCCAAGAUGCUGCCCCUGCCCUCUGCAUGACAUCCAGACUGACUUACCUGAAGGUCCGGCGGGUUCUACCCUGGCCCGCUGUCCAGCCUCAGCUGUACCAUCUGCUCUUCUCACAGAUGCUCUGGCCAUACAUG
ensembl:lncRNA